GUUAUAGGGUCAAGCGAACAAGUGCAUGUGGUGGAUGCCUUGGCGAUCACAGGCGAUGAAGGACGCGGUAGCCUGCGAAAAGCUACGGGGAGCUGGCAAACGAGCUUUGAUCCGUAGAUGUCCGAAUGGGGAAACCCACUCCUUUUGGAGUAUCCAUAGCUGAAUACAUAGGCUAUGUGAAGCGAACGCGGUGAACUGAAACAUCUAAGUAACCGCAGGAAAAGAAAUCAACCGAGAUUCCCAAAGUAGUGGCGAGCGAAAUGGGAUGAGCCUUGUACUCUUUAUUUGUAUUGUUAGCCGAACGCUCUGGAAAGUGCGGCCAUAGCGGGUGAUAGCCCCGUAGGCGAAAACAGUAUGAAAGAACUAAGUGUACGACAAGUAGGGCGGGACACGUGAAAUCCUGUCUGAAGAUGGGGGGACCAUCCUCCAAGGCUAAAUACUCGUGAUCGACCGAUAGUGAACCAGUACCGUGAGGGAAAGGCGAAAAGAACCCCGGGAGGGGAGUGAAAUAGAUCCUGAAACCGCAUGCAUACAAACAGUCGGAGCCUCGUAAGGGGUGACGGCGUACCUUUUGUAUAAUGGGUCAGCGACUUACGUUCAGUAGCAAGCUUAACCGUAUAGGGCAGGCGUAGCGAAAGCGAGUCCGAAUAGGGCGUUCAGUUGCUGGGCGUAGACCCGAAACCAAGUGAUCUAUCCAUGGCCAGGAUGAAGGUGCGGUAACACGUACUGGAGGUCCGAACCCACUAACGUUGAAAAGUUAGGGGAUGAGCUGUGGAUAGGGGUGAAAGGCUAAACAAACUUGGAAAUAGCUGGUUCUCUCCGAAAACUAUUUAGGUAGUGCCUCGUGUCUCACCUUCGGGGGUAGAGCACUGUCAUGGUUGGGGGGUCCAUUGCGGAUUACCCCGCCAUAGCAAACUCCGAAUACCGAAGAGUGCAAUCACGGGAGACAGACAUCGGGUGCUAACGUCCGGUGUCAAGAGGGAAACAACCCAGACCGCCAGCUAAGGUCCCCAAAUAUAGCUAAGUGGGAAACGAAGUGGGAAGGCUAAAACAGUCAGGAGGUUGGCUUAGAAGCAGCCACCCUUUAAAGAAAGCGUAAUAGCUCACUGAUCGAGUCGUCCUGCGCGGAAGAUGUAACGGGGCUAAGCUAUAUACCGAAGCUGCGGAUGCGUGCUUUGCACGCAUGGUAGGAGAGCGUUC
rnacentral:rRNA from 1 species